rnacentral:rRNA from 1 species
AACUAGGCCGAGGAAAAGAAACUAACCAGGAUUCCCCCAGUAACGGCGAGUGAAGCGGGAGAAGCCCAUGCUGCCAACCGCUCCGGCGGGUUGUGCCAGGCGUGCCUGGUGAGGUCCCGGGGAGAAGUCCUUUGGAACAAGGUAUCRGAGAGGGUGACAAUCCCGUCUGUGCCUCGGGGUCCUCGCGUGAAGGCCGUGCUAAUGGAGUCGAGUUGCUUGGGAUUGCAGCUCAAAGUCGGUGGUAAAUUCCAUCGAAGGCUAAAUACGGGUGGGAGACCGAUAGCGAACAAGUACUGUGAAGGAAAGAUGAAAAGAACUUUGAAAAGAGAGUUAAAGAGUGCCUGAAAUUGCUGAGAGGGAACCGAAGGUGAUCAGUGGGGGCCGCUGCCAUUUUUCGUGUUCCGACSUCGGAGCACGCCCUGUGGCAGGGGCCCGCUCCGCGCCGUCGCGUCCGGCCGUAAGCUUGGGGCCGGGGGYGSYGGGGCGGAGGAAAUGGUCCUCUUUACCCCGUCUUGAAACACGGACCAAGGAGUCUGACACGGAUGCGAGUACGGUGGUGUCAAGCCACGGUGCGCAAUGAAAGUGACGAUCGGAUGCUUCGCGGCUGCACAAUCGACCGACCACCUGGCUGCGGCCUCGAGGUUUGAGUGGGAGCAUUCGUGCCGGGACCCGAAAGAUGGUGAACUAUGCCUGAAUAGGGCGAAGCCAGGGGAAACUCUGGUGGAGGCUCGUAGCGAUUCUGACGUGCAAAUCGAUCGUCAAAUUUGGG